UAUAUAUACAUUGUGAUAAGGUGAAUGGGGUGGUCUGUGAGGGAGUCUAUAUCUCGACAGAAUUGUUCAGAGAGGCAUAUGAUUUUUAACCCCAGGGGGAGUAUGUGUAGUUUGUGUGUGUUACACAAAACAUUGUUUAGUUAUGGGCCCCUGGGGUGGAGCAUUUGGAGAGCAGGGUGGGCCAGUGCUCCACUCCGCAGCUUAGCGGUUUUCUUGGAAGACUUAGAUCCAGCCCAGGGUUUUGGACUGUCUCCAAACUACUGCUCAGCUGUAGGUAAU